rnacentral:rRNA from 1 species
UACGUAGGGCGCAAGCGUUAUCCGGAAUUAUUGGGCGUAAAGAGCUCGUAGGCGGUUUGUCGCGUCUGCCGUGAAAGUCCGGGCUCAACUCCGGAUCUGCGGUGGGUACGGGCAGACUAGAGUGAUGUAGGGGAGACUGGAAUUCCUGGUGUAGCGGUGAAAUGCGCAGAUAUCAGGAGGAACACCGAUGGCGAAGGCAGGUCUCUGGGCAUUAACUGACGCUGAGGAGCGAAAGCAUGGGGAGCGAACGGG